rnacentral:rRNA from 1 species
AUUGAACGCUGGCGGCAGGCCUAACACAUGCAAGUCGGGCGGAUGAAGGGAGCUUGCUCCUGGAUUCAGCGGCGGACGGGUGAGUAAUGCCUAGGAAUCUGCCUGGUAGUGGGGGAUAACGUCCGGAAACGGGCGCUAAUACCGCAUACGUCCUGAGGGAGAAAGUGGGGGAUCUUCGGACCUCACGCUAUCAGAUGAGCCUAGGUCGGAUUAGCUAGUUGGUGGGGUAAAGGCCUACCAAGGCGACGAUCCGUAACUGGUCUGAGAGGAUGAUCAGUCACACUGGAACUGAGACACGGUCCAGACUCCUACGGGAGGCAGCAGUGGGGAAUAUUGGACAAAGGGCGAAAGCCUGAUCCAGCCAUGCCGCGUGUGUGAAGAAGGUCUUCGGAUUGUAAAGCACUUUAAGUUGGGAGGAAGGGCAGUAAGUUAAUACCUUGCUGUUUUGACGUUACCAACAGAAUAAGCACCGGCUAACUUCGUG